rnacentral:rRNA from 1 species
AUUGAACGCUGGCGGCAGGCCUAACACAUGCAAGUCGAGCGGAUGAAGGGAGCUUGCUCCUGGAUUCAGCGGCGGACGGGUGAGUAAUGCCUAGGAAUCUGCCUGGUAGUGGGGGAUAACGUCCGGAAACGGGCGCUGAUACCGCCUACGUCCUGAGGGAGAAAGUGGGGGAUCUUCGGACCUCACGCUCUCAGAUGAGCCUAGGUCGGAUUAGCUAGUUGGUGGGGUAAAGGCCUACCAAGGCGACGAUCCGUAACUGGUCUGAGAGGAUGAUCAGUCACACUGGAACUGAGACACGGUCCAGACUCCUACGGGAGGCAGCAGUGGGGAAUAUUAGACAAUGGGCGAAAGCCUGAUCCAGCCAUGCCGCGUGUGUGAAGAAGGUCUUCGGAUUGUAAAGCACUUUAAGUUGGGAGGAAGGGCAGUAAGUUAAUACCUUGCUGUUUUGACGUUACCAACAGAAUAAGCACCGGCUAACUUCGUG